GUUAGAUUUACAAUGAUUUUACAAUUGCUCAAAAAAAGGAAAAAAAAAACCAAAACAUUAAUCAUGGGGAACUCAAAGAAGAGGACCGUGAGGGUGCUGUGGUGCUGCACAUUUCCUUCUAUAAGCCUAUUAACACUGAGGUUGAAUUUAUACAGUCGUAUAAUAUUGUUGUUUUGUGUUGGCGUUAAGGCCUGAUGUUAUUGUGUUAUGAAUGUUGUACAAUAAAGUCUUCUUAAAUGAAAGAUUUCUUAGUGCAUGAUUUUAUGUGCUCUGCUGCCACAAAUGUUGCUAAUUAAUGUUCCUAAUAAACUGGACGGGGAGUGCGUAUUAUUAGUAAUUACAGCUGAAUUAUGUAAUAUAGAAUGAAGAAAAAAAAACCCAGCAAAGUUUAAUUCACUGUAUAGUAAUGCAUAUCAUGACAAACACCUGGAGGCACGCUGUCUUUAAACUGUUGUAGAGCGCCACCUAAUGAUCACUUCCAUUACACUACACUUACUAAGCCACAGGUUCCCAGUCCUAGCCCUGGAGUAUCCUCUGUCCAUCAUGCUCCACAUGGACAGCCUGAGAUUACUGUGAAUGGUACCAUGUAGAAACCAUAAAGAUGGCCGUGGAUGUUCUUCCUUCCUGCAAUUGCUAAGAUCAUACUCAUAAGUUGCUCAGAUGCACAUGAGUUCCUGUUAACACACUUAGCACUUUUUGACGCCACAGCACACAGUUUAUAAGAGGAAAUGAUUUAGAGUCGUACUAUCCGGUGUCACCCAGAUGAGGACGGGUUCCCUUUGGAGUCUGGUUCUUCUCAAGGUUCCUUCCUCACCACAAAAUACAAAUACCAACACCAUAAAUACAAAUCCCCAAAAUUUCAAAUCACAAACAAAUCACAGAUUUGAUGUAAAUUAGCUUAAAGGUGAAUCACCCCAGAUUCCCAGGGGAAAGCAGUAGACACUUUCAGCGUGGUUGAACAUUUUAACCCUCGCUCCAGGACCGCGAUGUGAAGUGAAGAGCUG
ensembl:lncRNA